GGGCAGGUGCGGGCAGAGCUUGGUGCCUGCGGAGGCCGGGCGACGUCGAGGGCCUGCGUGGAGGGAGCCGGUGAGGGCACCGCGUUCAGGCCGCGGCACCCCCCUCUCUGUGCAUAGCUGAAGCAAAAGCCAGAGUUUUGAUUUUAGUGAAGGCUGAAGCCUACUUAUUUUGUCAAGAAGUUGUAAGCGUGAUCGCUGCACUCCUGCCUUCCUUGCAAAGGACACCCCGGAGAGAGCAACAAAUAGAAAAAAAAGAGAGCUUCCCAGCACGAGGAACCCUGGGAUACUUAUCUGCGUGCUUGACCCAGUGCAAAAAUACUGACAGCCAGGCUGUGUUUUGGCCUCAGCAUGGCUCCUGGCUGCCUGGUCUGGGCUAUUUCAGUCUGCGAGGGUACUCUGCAAAGCGGAGAAAAGAAGCCAAGGAUGAAAAGGGAAAUGACUGGUCUACUGUUGCAUUGGGAGGCUGUGCUAGGACACAGAAGAUUCAGAAGCCCGAGAUUCCUAGCACAGGAGGCAAUAACCUCGCACUGUCUCGGAUCAUAUCGUGUCACACUGAAUGUUGACCUUGGCUGACCUUACAUCAUGACAUGCUACAGUUGAAGUAAUGUAACAUGAACCAAUGUAUCAUGCGCUUAAUGUUAAUCUGGAGUUAUCAUCUGUGAACAAGGCAAAAAGUUUGGAAAGUUUGUUGUGUGGAUCUGCCCUGUGUUCCUCGGGCAGUCUCUGAGCUGCACGUGUUCGAGCUAACAACCAAAACCAACAGAGGGGAAGAAGAAGGGCGGAAACCAGACAAGUAUUUCUGUAACAGUUAGUUAUAAAGAUCCUGAUCAGUUUAAUGUGGAUCUGAAGAUAAUCUACUAAAGAGGCUCUAUGCCCCUUGACACCGUAGUAACCAGGGCAGGAGCGCGAGCAGGCAGUGGGAGCGCUCGACAGCAUUCGUUGGACUCUUGGGGUUUUUGGUGUAGAAAGCUUCAUAUAUACGUUUCUGAGUACAUUUGUUGUUGAAUGUAUUGCUGAAUAUAUUUAUUGCUAUUACGCUGGUUAAAAAAAGGGUUAAUGGUAGUGUUGGGCCUUAUGAAGUAAUCAUUUUCGUAAUAUUUACUUUAUUCAUGUGCUUGCUCAGCCUUUUGACCCUCUGUGAAAUUGUACCUAAUAUUAUGAGGGUUUAUCUGUGGGGGUUUUUUUCCUAGAAAGACUUUGAGAUAAUUCUGUGCGCUGUUUUGGAAAAUAAUUUGUAA
rnacentral:lncRNA from 1 species